GUUAAUGUGAAAGGAUACCUUAAAAGCAUGAGAUCCUUUCUGAUCUUGGAAGUUCAGCAUGGCCAGUCCUGUUUAGUACUUGGAUGGAAUACCACCAAUGAAUACCAGGUGCUAUAGGCU
rnacentral:rRNA from 11 species